rnacentral:lncRNA from 1 species
GACGGAAUUUUGGUGACAUCGACAAUCCGUCACAAAUCCGUCGAGAAAUGCGAAUUUCUUAAACUAUUAAUUUAAUUUUUAUAGCCCGUCGACAAUCCAUCGUAAAAAUAUUAAAAUUUAAUUAAUAUAAUUUUUAUUUUACGGGCCCGUCGAGAAUCUGUCAAGAAAUAUAAUUUUUGUGUAAUUAUUUUUAAUAUUUCGGUUGUCCGUCAUUAGUCCGUCAAGAAUAUUAAUAAUUACUAAAUAAUACUAUCUCUUCCCCAUAAUUUCCCCAAAUUCAAUUGCCCUAAAUUCCUAAAUUCCGCUGCCGCCGCUCGCCCUGCCGGAGUCGAUCUACGCCGCUCGCCUCUCCCUCCCUCGACUUCAUCCCGAUCGAGCGGUUCUCUCUCUCUCUCUCAAGAUUUGUAUAUUUUCAGAGCUAUCGUCGCCUCACCUCGCCGUCAUCGUUGCCGGAGCUCUGAGUGUGGUUGAAACUCCCGAAGCCUUUGAUUCCAACCGUUAGUUUCCUUGCUCUUGCUCUCUCUUCUUUCAGAUAUAUUGCUCUCGAUAAUUUCCGCAGAAAACGUUUCUCUCUGUAGAAAACCGGAACAAGGCUCGGGUUCGUGGUCGGAGCUUGUGCCCCCAUUGAGAGCGGGAUCAGGGAGAUUCGCGAGGCGCUGAAGCUCGCCGAAAAUGUCGCUGGAGCACGCCGAGAAAUCACUGAGUUGAGAAAGAAAGUGCAGUCACAGGUUAGAUGUGUCCUACUUGAACUAUGUUCUC